UUUACCAGGGACCAGAAGCGAGGUGGCCGGAGCCCUUGUGCAGUGGGAGUGACAGUUACCCGGGCCCGCACUCCCCUGUCCUCCCGGCUCCGGCCGCAGACGCCCCCACGCCGCCAGCCCCGCCACAGAACCGCGGAAAGCUGGCAUGAGAGCACGGGGCCUCCGGAGACCCGGCCGCAGGCCCGUGGGCGCCGCGCCGGCGAGGACGAGAGGCUUAGAUGUUGGUGCUCAGCCCGGUCUCGUCAUUCUAAGAACUCUAACCGAAGGAAUCCUACGUCCACUGUCUGCGACCACUUCCUGAACUCUUAACAAAGCUCUAUUUCUGCUAAAGGCUGGGGGCUGACUUGUGCAGACUCAUUCCUUCCUACUUUCGAGGGACAGGACAAAAUUGGAAGCACUGGUUAUGAACCCAAGGCUUUGCCUGGAAUAUCAUAUUUGAGAAUGAUGUUCAUUUGAUCAGAAAUGACCUGACACUUUUAAGGAACUAAGGUUGAUUUUAAGGAGCCAAUGGUUACAAAGCCUUCUUGGGAAAACUGACCUGGUACUUGUUUGCCAAGUUCCCAGCCUUACAGGUAGCUGAUGACUGUGCAGACUCUGUCUUGUCUGAUGAGAUUUCACUGACCUCCUUCCCCCACCCCUCAUGGAAAAACCAGUUUUGGUACCUUCCUUUAAGUUGGACUGGAUCUGUUGCCUUGUCAAAAUUGUCGAUCCUUACCACAUUUUCAAGUCUUUCAGUUUUCUUCAAUAUCUGACUACAAUCUUCCAAACUAACUUUUCAAAUUUUUCUCCCUCCUGCCUGACUCAGCAUUACCAAGAACUAAAACCUGGCUGCCUGGAUCCCUAUCAGCACUUCAGGUUGCCGUGCAGCUGGCCUUUCCCCCCAGGAUCUGAAGAAGCUCUGCAAGCUGUAGCCUAGUGGCCUGGCAGCAACCUUUAAGGACCCAGCUCCACAGCAGACCAUGCGCAGGCUGGAAUUCCCCCUGGACAAGCUGCUGCUGGACCACUAAGGAAGGCCAACAAAAUACUUGGAUCACACGUGCCCGUGAAUGAAAGGUAGCCAAGACGACGCACAACAUCACCAAGAGUAUGGCCAUCUUAGCUUUGAGAAACUCAAGGAGUGGUGCUGCAUGAUUUUCCUCCUCUAGAAUCCCCUGGACUGGUGAAUUCUCAAGGUUCAACGCCUGGCUCUUUACCUUAAUACAAUUCUUAUACUAUUAUGUCUCUAUUUCAGGCAUCCCUCUUUUAAGAUAUCUGAUCUUCAGGACCAUAAAACAACUGACCUCUGCCCCACCUCUCAACAGAUGCGCCACCAGUUUUAGAAGAACAACACCAGCGAGAACGCUGGAGAGACUGUUUCUUAGGCCCUGCUUCCUGCCCCUUGGGAGACUUAUGCUUGCCUCUGAGUUGUUCAGUGACAAAAGAUAGUCAUCUGGAACGGGGAGGCGGGACUGACAUUACUGAGCGUUACCUGAGCUCUAUGCAACUUCAGCAGUGAUGCUUGAGAAAUCCCCCCUACCCCUCUGUGCCUUGGAAAGGACAAACCAGCUAACCACAAAGGACCACACUGCCCUCAGAGUUUCCAAGGGAAGUCUCAACUCCAUCCUUUCUCAUGACUCCUGUAAGAUUCCAAGAUGGCUCCCUUGUUUACCUGCCUCUCUAAAACCCCUGGUCCCCUUCCUUUUCUUUGAGACGUUCCUCAUCAGUGGAUGUUCUCCUUAUUGCAAUCACCUGAAUCAAUCAUCUUCUUAAUUAUCAGGUGAAUUUUUUCUGUCACAGCUCCAGUGAGGACCUCCCUUUGAUGGCAGCCGGCACGUUGCCCCCGACUGCCCGGCUGGAAUAACAACCAACUGUGCCCUGAUACUCUGUUCAGCCCUCCUGAGGACAACCACCCUUUCGACAGCUCAGGACAUGAGUAAACAGAGAAGGACAGCAUGGCCCUAGUUGCCUCAGGUAGUGUUGGAGUUACGGAAGGAAGCUCUCACGUCCUAUGUUGAAUGGGACAGCAAGGAAUCAGUGUGAGAUACUUCUGAGAUGGGGGUAAACACACCCAGGGAUGUCUUUAACAUCAGCUGGACAGGGGCCGGGCAGGGCGCAGGCUGAGGCAGAGCUGGACCGCAGCAGGUGCUGCUCACGGGGGAGCUGUCGGACUGACCAUUAUGAAGCGAAGGGUGAAUCUGAAAGUCAGAAAUGCCAGAGGCAGCCCUAAAAGCUGGGAGGAGGGGAGAUCCCAAAGAGGGAAAGUCCAGGGGAAAGACUGGCCAGGAAGUAAAAGGUGUACAGGCCUUUAGCCAACCCUGACCCCGUCUGAUUCCUCUUCCUGGAGGAGAGCGAGGGCAGGCAGGGAAGGCUCCACUGGGCAGAACAUGUACCCUCAGGGGUCUCUGAUGGCAGCAUGUGACAGGAUUCACCACCUCUGCAACUUCACAGGAAGUUGAAUCGGAAAGAGGCCUUCCAGAUUUCAGCAAGGGCAUGAUGCUGAGAAGGGCGAGGAGACCAGAUGAUGUCUCCAUUCUGGAACUGUCUCUCUUGUAGCCUGAGAGAUCUAGACAUCCGUGGUGUUUUUUUUUUUUAAUGUAUCAGAUAUGAUUCCCCUUGGUGAAGCAAGCAUGUCUGGGGCGAGGUCCUAGGGGACAAUGAUAGCCAGGAAGCUCGUGAGAAUCCUCAGGGCCCUUGGGUAUUCUCUGUGCUGUCCCCAGGCCUAGCACAGUGCCUGGGACUGAGGAGCCAUUUUAAGAAGCUUAAGAAUCUGUACUUACAGUACAAAAUUGUGUCCUGGGUCAUAAAAAACUGACAAAGUUAGAAAGCUCGUUAGAGGCAGGAUGAGGGCAUGGGUCAUGCUGACUAUGUGACAUGCAGCCAGGAGUCAUAUUAAACAUGUUUAUUCACCAGAACUACACUAUUUCUACAAGUAUAUACUAAGCAGAAUGGAUUCUGGCUAAAAAUCAUCUCUGUGUAUAGCAAUGGUAGGACCUCUCUGGGCUCUGGCUCACUUAUUAUUUGAAUAAAACCAGGGGACAGAGAGGUGGAUUGACACUCAUUGGGCUUUGAACUGUGCUUCCAGAACUGGGGUACAAACUCAGGCCACUAGGUAGUCGGUGGAUUAGAAUCUAACCUUGACCAAUAGGGCUGUGAUGGCUGGAAAUGGGCUCUGGUCCAGGAGAUCAUGUGCAUUGUCUUGGUGACAUCAUCCGUAACACCAGCAGUUCGAGAGGCCACAACCAUUACAGAGUCCAGUUUUUCAGGGGCCUCUGGCAUCCAAGGGGAAUAGGGAGCCUUUAGAGUCUUCUUGGCCCUUGCCUGGACCUGAGUAUAUUCUGCCAGAAACCUCACAUCUGGAUGUGUCUGGGUUUCUGUCCUGGCAGAAGUACAGGCCUGUGUGCUGGCUCUUCCCCAGGGAACAUGCUGAAGGGGUCAUAAUGGCAGAGCAAGCCUCCCCUGUCCUCUGUCCUCUGGAAGUCCCUACCCAAUGGUACAGGACCUUGUCCAGGGGCUGCUGAAUGCAACACUGGCCUGUUGCUGGUAUCUGGUCAUGCUGGAGGUUCUAGGAGUGCUAAGCUAUAAUUUAUUUAGAAUGGAGCACCUUCCUUGAGUUAGACUGGCCUCUGCCAGCUCCUGUUAUUUGGGCUCAUAUGAUAAGGUUUAGCUGAGAGGUUGCCUAGGCUAGCUGUUUGAAAACCCCAUCUUUGAAAGUUAAGUGCCCACUCUAAGUGACCAGGGCUGAGUUUUCCUGUCUCUGAGAGCUGUUUCCAGACGCUGUCGUUAGCCUUUGAGGCCCAGUAUGUCAGAUUCUGUUAAGUUCAUCUCUCCAAGCCUUAAAACCUCUUUUAAUGUUAUCUGUGUCCUGAGAGUUGGUUUCUCACAGAACUAGAUUCUUUGAAAAAUUGGCAACAGAGCAAAAGUUUUCUAGCAACAUGGUGGCCCCGUAUAUACGUUUGGGAGGCUUCCAAGCCAGGCGGACAUGGGUGGGCUGAGUUAGAAUAGGCUUGGAUGAGGGCAGAUAAGAUCGUGAUUUGGGGAGGAUUUUUUGCUAGUUUGGGGGUCCAAAGAAUAUUCCUUUUAUUCUGAGGAAGUCUGUUGACAGGAUGGUAAUGAAAAAGUGAGGGUUUUUUUGGUUUGUUUUUUUGCGGUACGCAGGCCUCUCACUGUUGUGGCCUCUCCCGUUGCGGAGCACAGACUCCGGAUGCGCAGGCUCAGCGGCCAUGGCUCACAGGCCCAGCCGCUCCACGGCAUGUGGGAUCUUCCCGGACCGGGGCACGAACCUGUGUCCCCUGUAUCGGCAGGUGGACUCUCAACCACUGUGCCACCAGGGAAGCCCAAAAGUGAGUUUUUGAAUACCUAUGGCAACCAGAGAAGUAUUAUUCCUGAUGUAUAAGAGUUUAGCCCCUUGAAUGCAGAAACCUAGUCAAGUCAACCUUAAGUAUUUUGCAUAUACAUUUUGGGGGAGGGGACACUGGCCCACACGUAGUGUAAAGACAGGGUCCAGGAAAUAACUGUGGGUCAGAACAUCAGUCAAGUAGGGCUUUGCCCCUGACCAGGAGGUCUUGGAGGACUACACCUGUGAGUCCUCAGAACCCACCUGGUGUGGUUCAGGCCUCAGAGUAUCACCGAAGACCUGGACUGAUCCCCGCACGUCCAGAAGACCUUCUCUGCUGGCCCACAGGCCCACAUCUGAACUGUUUGUCCUCAGAAUGUCCAGCUUAAUGGAUGGACUGGUUCCUCCAAAUUGACUUCAUGAAUUGAAAAUGAUUGGAAGUGAGUCUCUUACUGUGACCACCUUGGUAGCCACCAUACAGGGUCUGGGCCUGGUGAGAAAAAAUAGAGGCAGGGGUUUGAGGGCUCAAAGUACUUCCAUGGGAUUUGUAUGAAUAUGCAACCUAGUUAUAUCCUAGUUUCCCUUCCAGACUGAUGUCUCCUGUCUUGGUGGACCCAGCCCCAUUCAGGGCUGUCCUGUUUUAGCUGGAGCUCCCAGUUUUUCUUCUUUACAAUGACAUCAGUCCUUGCUGGGUGUGGUCAAGGAUUUGCUAACUCCCCAUUGUAAGUUUCUUCUAGGUUGUCCUGGACGGAAGACCUGAGCUUCAAAAGAUGAAUAUACUCUUCAAACUCUGCGUCUUGUAUAAUCUGGUUGAAGGACACCUACCUAGGAGAGUGCUGGUUGCAGGAACUGGACGAGGCUCUAUGUUCAAGUAUCCAAGUGAGACUGAGACCAACGGUUUCCAGUUGGGUGGCGCCAGGAGCAGUGGGGCGUCCAAUACGGGUUACAGACAGCAGCUGAGGAGCUUGUAGGUGUGCUCUCGGUGGCAGAGGGGAAGCCCAGUACAGGGACUCAUCUGUGCUAUCUGUCUAUAGUGGUGUGAACCAGAGUUUAGAAGUCUCUUUGACACCCUGUAAUUUGUCAUGAAAAAGAUCAUAGUUACCUAUGAAAGGUAGCCAGAUCCUUUCUGUCCUUGAUUUUAGGGUGAAGAGUUGGAUCUUGAUUUCUGUAAAUGACAUCUUUCUUGGGGGCUGGGAGGGGAUAGUUGGGAAAGAGCAUCUAUUAAGUUGAGGAAAGUGCAUGAUUCCCUUGGGUGGUUUGUCCAUUUGGCUGGUGGGAGUGUGUGUGUGUGUGUGUGUGUGUGUGUGUGUGUGUGUGUGUGGUGCAUACAGGUGAGUGAGUGUAUGUGAGAGUGAACAUGAAUGUGUAUAAAUGUGAGGGAGGUAUAGCAGGAGGUGGCCUGUAACACUUACACAGGAAGCUGACUGACCCACCCCAGGCAGUGCAUGCUGGGCUGGUCAGAAAGGCAAGAAGAUGUUCAGUUGUAUUAACCUGUUGUCUUUUACCCAUUUCUUUCCCUACCUCUCCAAAAUGGGUUGAGUUUGGCAGGUAGGACAAGCCUCAAUACAGGUAUACCCGACCUCAUACUGAAGAGUGACCAAUGACCUCUGCCAGAAGAAGGAUCCAGGGGUCAAAGCCUUCCAGGGACUAGAAUGGAGACACCAAGCCCUCACUCAAGCAUCAGCCUGGGCUGGAAUCUGGCCUUCCCAAGAUCCUGUGACGGUGGAAGAGAGCUCAGGGAAGUUGCCGGCUACUGUGGUUUAGUCCCACUGAUUCCAGAAAGAAUUGUUCAGACCUAGAAUGAAGAAGACUCUCUCCAGUCCAGGCAUGGUCUGAGUGACAACGCACCAUGGUACAUGCCCAGAUUGGUGCAGCUAGAUGCAGCUGAUGGACUUGGCACCCGGCCUCCACUUGCCAUCAGGGCCUCCAAGAAGGAGCUGCAAUAUCUCCGGCUAUUUUAGGAGUGAUACAGAAGAUGUUAUUUGUAUUGCCACGGCGUCUGAGGAACGGUACAUAAGGUCUGGCGGAGCUUAGCCUCUGGUUCUCUAAGGCUCAGGAAGAUUUGUUCUGCAUGUUCUUCUUUGCUCCUUGCUGAGUCAUUCGUGAGACUCGAUCACUUCAUCUGAGCUCAUUUGCCUUUCCCAGGCUUGGAACCGGCAUCACUCACAUUUCAGUUGCCACUGUAAAGUUCCAAGGAGACGAUCGAUUAUUACUUCACUUUUAAUUUCUCCUCCUGUUAAUCCCUCUCUGUUUUCUACCCCUGCCCCCCCCACAGCCCCGCACCCGUCUUCUAGUCUGUAUUCCAGUCCUGCCUACACAUCAGAGCACUUCCCCCAACAAGCCGUGCAAGGGCACCUCCUAAGGCCCGUAAUGACAGUUGUGCAGAGUCUGAGGGUAGGAAUCAAACAAUUCACAAAGACUUUAAGACUGUUUUUUAAAAUCUUGAAGGGAUAGUAUUAAAAUCGCAAAUUUUUUGGAAACUACUCUGCACAGGUCCUGUGCCAGAGGCUUCACCUAUGUGAUUGCUGAUCCUAAAGCAAAAGGGAAAUGCUGCACUUCAUCAAAUCAAAUGCUACUCUGUGUAACAUUAAGGACAAAGAAACCCCAACAACACCUUGUCAGCUGUGUUGUAACCUGACACUGAUUGCAGAUUGCAUCCUAAUUUCAGAGAUGUUAAAAUGUGAAGGGAAAAAAAAGUGCAUCUUAGACUUGAUGGUGAGGAGUUGUACAGAGAAAACUGACGCUCAGAGAGGCUGGGUAAUGUGGCCAGAGCCACAGAGCUAAUCAGAGGCAGAGCUGGCUUUAGACUGUGCCAGAGUCCAUUGCCUCUCCAGACGUUUGAAGCCUUUUUCUCCUGACUGGUUUCCUUUUCCUUGCCUGCCUGUGUCUCAGGAACCAGUCCCUAAGCCAUCUGUCCUGGAUAAAAGAGCCUCUGCUUUCAGACAACUGACAGAGCUAAAGCAAGUGUCCUUUUGAGACUGCAUCCCCUCCUCACGGUGCCUAAUUAUAGAGACUGCCCAUUCUGCUGUCGCUAGGUUAUUUUUGGCAGGGGGAGGUGGGAGGGGAAGGAGUGAUGGCCAUGCAGGCUUCCCCUUCUCCCCCGGCUACUGGCUUCUUUAUCUCUUACCCUGAGACAGCAGCGGAGGGGCCAUGGCCCUUGCCAAGUGGAUUAAUAAAAGCUGAUUUAGGGGGCUAGAAGCUGCUGGGGAAAUCUACCCACCCCUCUCCUUAUCAGGUCUUCUCGCCCUACUCCAUCAAAAUGUGCUGCCCCUCUGAUCCCAAACUCAACGUCACCCCUUAGACUUCAAAGUUUUGUUUCCCUCCGAACUGAUGUCCUGUGUCUCCCGAGAUGAACUCCCACCUGCCGAGGCCACUUCCCACUUACUUGUUUAUUCAUUGGAUGAUUUAAUAAAUAUUUAGUGAG